rnacentral:misc_RNA from 1 species
UACAGAGGGUGCAAGCGUUAAUCGGAGUUACUGGGCGUAAAGGGCGCGUAGGCGGUUGGGUGAGUGUGAUGUGAAAGCCCUGGGCUUAACCUAGGAAGUGCAUCGCAAACGACCUAACUGGAGUAUAAGAGAGGGUGGUGGAAUUUCCGGUGUAGCGGUGAAAUGCGUAGAGAUCGGAAGGAACGUCAAUGGCGAAGGCAGCCACCUGGCUUAAUACUGACGCUGAGGCGCGAAAGCGUGGGGAUCGAACAGG